GUAUGCUUAUAAUACGUAAAACCUGCUCAAUGAUAUUUUAAAUAGCCGCAGUACAAUGUGCUAAGGUAGCAUAAUAAUUUGCCUUAUAAUUAAAGGCUAGAAUGAACGGUUAAACAUAUGGAUUUCUUUAUUAAUAUGGAUUCUUUAACUUAACAUAUAAGUAAAAAGGCUUAUAUAAUCAGAGGGACGACAAGACCCUGUCGAGCUUUACUUUAGUUUAACUGGGGCGGUUAAAAACAAAUUCUUUACUUAAUUUUUCAUAACAUCCCUUCAAAAAGGAAUAAAACAAGUUACCGCAGGGAUAACAGCAUAAUUCUUUUUAUAAGAUCAUAUUUUUAAAAGAGAUUGUGACCUCGAUGUUGAAUUAUUUUAUCUUUUAGGAGCAGAAUCUUAAAAAGAAAGUCUGUUCGACUUUUAAAAAUUUACAUGAUUUGAGUUCAGACCGGCGUAAGCCAGGUCGGUUUCUAUCUUCUUAUUUUUACCUUCAGUACGAAAGGACAAAAGUAAAAGCCUAAGGCUUUUACUUUUAGCAAAAA
rnacentral:rRNA from 1 species